rnacentral:rRNA from 1 species
GUGCCAGCAGCCGCGGUAAGACGUAGGUGGCGAACGUUAUCCGGAAUUAUUGGGUGUAAAGGGUGCGUAGGUGGCCUGACAAGUUGUCAGUGGUAAAUCGAGGCUCAACUUCGUGGAAACUGGUAAUACUGUUUGGCUUGAGUGCAGGAGAGGUUAACGGAACUCUAUGUGGAACGGUAAAAUGCACAGAUAUAUAGAAGAACAUCAAUAAAGGCGAAGGCAGUUAACUAUUCUGUUACUGACACUGAGGCACGAAAGCGUGGGGAGCAAAACGGAUUAGAUACCCGUGUAGUCC